GGUUCCAUCGUCUAUCGGUUAAGACAAUGCGUUGUCAGCGCAUUGAGAGGGGUUCGAUUCCCCUUGGAACCGCCA
rnacentral:tRNA from 1 species